GGUCCCGCGCUGCGUGGAAGACUAGUGAUUUUGUUGUUGUGGUUGGAGGCGACAACAAGUCAUAGCUUCCUCACAGCGGGGACC
rnacentral:pre_miRNA from 1 species